rnacentral:rRNA from 1 species
GGAUGAACGCUAGCGGCAGGCCUAACACAUGCAAGUCGAGGGGUAUAAGAAGCUUGCUUUUUAGAGACCGGCGGAUGGGUGAGUAACGCGUAUGCAACCUACCUUUUACAGGGGAAUAGCCCGGAGAAAUUCGGAUUAAUGCUCCAUGGUUUAUAGAGAUGGCAUCAUUUUUAUAAUAAAGAUUUAUCGGUAAAAGAUGGGCAUGCGUAUCAUUAGCUAGUUGGUGUGGUAACGGCAUACCAAGGCUACGAUGAUUAGGGGUCCUGAGAGGGAGAUCCCCCACACUGGUACUGAGACACGGACCAGACUCCUACGGGAGGCAGCAGUGAGGAAUAUUGGUCAAUGGAGGCAACUCUGAACCAGCCAUGCCGCGUGCAGGAAGACGGUCCUAUGGAUUGUAAACUGCUUUUGUACGGGAAGAAAUGUAAUUACGUGUAAUUAUUUGACGGUACCGUAAGAAUAAGGAUCGGCUAACUCCGU